AGUAGCGGCGAGCGAAGCGGGAAGAGCCCGGUGUGAAAAUCUCUUCGGAGAAUUGUAUUUGAGUGACCUUUGGGUGGUCAGUGCGAGCAAGUUGCUUGGGAUAGCACGCCAUGGAGGGUGAGAGCCCCGUCCAUCUCGCACAGGAUCCAUCCGCACAAGGUCGCUUCAACCGAGUCGGGUAGCUUGGGAAUGCUGCUCUAAAUGGUGGUAAAUCUCAUCAAAGGCUAAAUAACGGUGGGAGACCGAUAGCGAACAAGUACCGUGAGGGAAAGAUGGAAAGAACUUUGAAAAGAGAGUGAAAAGAACUUGAAACCGUCACGGGGGAAGCGGAUUGCGUGAGUGGUGGUGUCGCUUGUUCAGCGCAUUUUGCGUGCAUUCUGGCGAUACCUUGUCGUCGUGGCUGGUUGGUACGUGAUGUUGACGUACUGGCUGGUGAGGGCUCCCUUCGGGUGAGGACGACGACAAAAUGACGCAAUACGACCCGUCUUGAAACACGGACCAAGGAGUCUAGCACGGCUGCGAGUCGAAGGGUGUAAAACCCAUGGGCGCAGUGAAAGCGAAUUCAUAAGCAAAUUGGGGAGGCGUGGAGUUUUUAACAAAAUGUCCUACCUUGAGCAUUUGUGCUGGGACCCGAAAGAUGGUGAACUAUGCCGGAGUAGGGCAAAGCCAGAGGAAACUCUGGUGGAGGCUCGUAGCGAUGCUGACGUGCAAAUCGCUCGUCGAACUUGGGUAUAGGGGCGAAAGACUAAUCGAACCAUCUAGUAGCUGGUUCCCUCCGAAGUUUCUCUCAGGAUAGCGGGCCGACAUAUGUUGUUUUGUGCGGUAAAGCGAAUGAUUAGUGCAUUUGGGGUCUGAUAGACUUCGGGCGAUUCUCAAACUUUAAAUGCGCAAGGGGGUGGCUGCUUAAUUGAGCCUACUCUUUGAAAAACGUCGGCCCUGUGGGCCACUUUUGGUAAGCAGAACUGGCGAUAAGGGAUGAACCUUAAGCGCGGUUAAGGCGCCGCAUUGCCCGCUUAUAGACCCCACAAAAGGUGUUGAUUCAUUUAGACAGCAGGACGGUGGCCAUGGAAGUCGGAAUCCGCUAAGGAGUGUGUAACAACUCACCUGCCGAAUGAAUUAGCCCUGAAAAUGGAUGGCGCUUAAGCGGGCAGCCGACACCGCGCCGUUCCGGCGAGACGAUGCCGGGAUGAGUAGGAGGGCGUGGCGGUCAGUGACGCAGGCGAGGGUGCAGACCCCGCUGAAACGGCCGCUAGUGCAGAUCUUGGUGGUAGUAGCAAAUAUUCAAGCGAGAUCCUUGAAGGGCGAAGCGGGGAAGGGUUCCACGCAAACAUUGAUUGGGCGUGGGUGAGUCGUUCCUAAGCCGAGUGGCAAUUGCUAAGUAGCGGCGAAAGGGAAGCGGGUUAAAAUUCCCGCACACGGAUAUGGAGGCGGCGACGCAAGCAGAGGUAAAUACGCUGGCGAGGGCGCUGGGCAGAGUUGUCUUUUCUGUUUGACCGGCAUCGCGCUGUGUGGAAUCCGCUUAUCGGGAGAAACACGCGCGGG
rnacentral:rRNA from 1 species